GAAGGUCCAGGCCGGCGGGGAGGAUGCGACCGCUGGCGGGUGCGGGCGAAGGCGCUUGUCCCGCGGACUCCGUGGUGUGACGGGAGCCCGCCCCCGGCCAGGCCUGCCUUCUCCACCUCACUGCCUGUGAGGCUUUCCCUGCAGUGACUUCAGGCUGCCGCGUCUUCUCCCUGCCAUUCUCCGUAAGGUGAUGAAUGAACAAGAACCGGGUAAUUGCCAUCGUCAUCAUCAGCCAGAGCCCUGUGGCUGAUGAACACUUUAUACACGGUUCUCUUGUCUCAAGUUACGCUUUCCGUAAGCUUUGUAGAUUCUCAGCUUAGUUCUAAAGUUGUCUCUGCCAGUUGGUCCUUUGAUCAGAGGACCCCAGCCAGCAAUAAGAAGACUGAAGAUUCCCUAGCUCAGUUGAAAACACAGAAAGGGUGAUGUGUCCGGACGCCUAGAACUGUGUUUAUUUAUAGAGAGGCAGCUAGUCGUGACCCAGUUAUACUCUUCACUGGCCAGACCACAUAGGAAGCGUUGUGUUCAGUUCUAGACUGAGCACUUUAAGGCUUCAGUCAGGUUGAGAUUACUUCAGAGAAGAGUAGCGUGGUGAAGAGAACUCAAAAGCAUGAGAGGUGGAGAAGUAUCAAACUUGCAAGGAUUCACGUAGAAGAGAGAAAGCGGCUGAGCCGUCUCCAAAUGUGAAAACAAACAAACAAAAACCCAUCAAGUGAAGUAGAUUUGUUUCAUGUGAUGCAAACUUCAGGGAAACAGAUUUCAGAUUCUUAGAAGAUCUCCUUCUAGCCAAGGAAGUUGUCUGUCUUAACAUCACCCAAAUGGUAAUGGAAAGAUUGUUUAAUGAAGAUGGCUCCAAAUGAAGAGGAAGAAGACUGUGGAAAGUAUGCCAUGAACAAAGCCAAGAAACUAGACUGUAGAUGCAUUCUAUGAUAAUGAGUACUCUGUUUUGUCUGUUAUGGAAGUUUCUUAAUAGAAAGUAAUGAUAAAGUUAAAAUGUAUAGAAACUAGUCUGUAAGGAGACUCAAUUUUGAAUUUAAGGAACUUGAUACUGUAGGCAGUCAGUAUUUGGCAGUUACAAAAUGUGAUUAUAAGAUUAUCUUGGCAAUGUUGGGUAGGUGGGUUGAUGUUAAUGGAUGGCUGAGAAACUAAUUAAUACUCAUUACACUUAAAAAUGUAUCAUACCAAAAAAAUAUUUAGUAGAUUAAUUUAAAUUAUAGCGUAUCUCUAAAGUAGAACACUUUAUAGAUAUUAAAAAAGCAUGACAUGACUGUAUUGCUUGAUAUGAGAGUGUAUCCAAGAUGUACAGUUGAAAAAUAGCUUGCAAAACAAUAUAUACAUAAUAUGAAUCUGUUUAUAUAAAAUUGUGUAUUUUUGUAUGUCUGUGUAACAGGGUCAUUUUGCUAAGAGUGCCUUAAUUAUCUCAAAAUUGUCUCAAAAACAGAAAAUCUCAAGGUACAAGUGUUUCCAACCUAUUUUCAGUGGCUCGACAAAGUCAUCCAUGCUUUUGGCUCUUUUCAUCUCUGUUCCAUUUUCCUUAAUGCGUUAGCCUUUCAUUUUCGGGCUUGUCGCUUCAUAGGUUGUCAGGAUGGGCUGCCAACCUGCAGACCUAUUUCCAGUCCAUCACUCCCUUGGUAUCUCCUUCAGUAUGUAUGUCCACUGGAUCUAUUCAGCUCACCAGUGUCCAACAGCCUCAGCUUCUAAGCCUUUCUUGUUUUACCUAUGCUCAGUCAAUUCUUCCCCCUGCCCUUCUUGAACCCUGCCUCAUCCUGCAACACUGGGCCUUAAAAUUCUAUCUUUGCUAGACCCCAGUAUAGUUCCUUAUCAGGAGUUGAUGCUGAUUAAUAAAAAGACUUAAUUCUAAAAUAAAUGAAUGAUAUUGGGAAGGAAAAAAGUUGGAUCACUCUUACGGCAGACAUUAUUGUUUGCCUACCCAAACACCAUUUCUGUCUUCUUCCUUAAUUAAUAAAAUGAUUUUGUUAGCAUCCCAAAGAACUCAAGAAAUGUGAACUCUUCCCUUUACCCUGGAAGUAAUUCCAUUUUCCUUUGAAUAACAAUAUUGUAGAGGUGGUCAUGUGACCAAUAGACAAUCAGCUAGGGAAGAUGCUACAAUAUGUUUUACCCAGAUAGCAGAAUUUUCACCUAUCAUAUAUAGAGAGUUUUUCUUGGGUUACUGUUCAAGAUGGUGGAUUUGGCAUAUAAUUUGCUUAAUAAUCUUUUC